CCUAGUACGAGAGGACCGGAGUGGACGCAUCACUGGUGUUCGGGUUGUCAUGCCAAUGGCACUGCCCGGUAGCUAAAUGCGGAAGAGAUAAGUGCUGAAAGCAUCUAAGCACGAAACUUGCCCCGAGAUGAGUUCUCCCUGACCCUUUAAGGGUCCUGAAGGAACGUUGAAGACGACGACGUUGAUAGGCCGGGUGUGUAAGCGCAGCGAUGCGUUGAGCUAACCGGUACUAAUGAACCGUGAGGCUUAACCUU
rnacentral:rRNA from 1 species